rnacentral:rRNA from 1 species
AUUGAACGCUAGCGGGAUGCCUUACACAUGCAAGUCGAACGGAGUGGCGAACGGGGGAGUAAUGUAUCGGAACGUGCCCAGUAGCGGGGGAUAACUACGCGAAAGCGUAGCUAAUACCGCAUACUAUUGGAGCGGCCGAUUUCGGAUUAGCUAGUUGGGUGGGUAACGGCGCACCAAGGCGACGAUCCGUAGCUGGUUUAAGAGGACGACCAGCAACACUGGGACUGAGACACGGCCCAGACUCCUACGGGAGGCAGCAGGGGGGAAUUUUGGACAAUGGGGGAAACCCUGAUCCAGACAUCCCGCGUGUGAGAUGACGGCCUUCGGGUUGUAAACUCCUUUCGACAGGGACGCGGUACCUGUAUAAGAAGCACCGGCUAACUACGUGCCAGCAGCCGCGGUAAUAC